rnacentral:rRNA from 1 species
UACGGGGGGGGCAAGCGUUGUUCGGAAUUACUGGGCGUAAAGGGCUGGUAGGCGGCCAACUAAGUCGGAUGUGAAAUCCCCAGGCUUAACCUGGGAACUGCAUCCGAUACUGGUCGGCUUGAAUCCGGGAGAGGGAUGCAGAAUUCCAGGUGUAGCGGUGAAAUGCGUAGAUAUCAGGAAGAACACCCGUGGCUAAGGCGGCUCUCUAGUACGGUACUGACGCUGAGACGCGAAAGCGUGGGGAGCGAACAGG